rnacentral:misc_RNA from 1 species
UACGGAGGGAGCUAGCGUUGUUCGGAAUCACUGGGCGUAAAGCGCACGUAGGUGGAUUAGUAAGUCAGGGGUGAAAGCCCAGAGCUCAACUCUGGAAUUGCCCUUGAUACUGCUAGUCUAGAGUUUGGGAGAGGUAAGCGGAAUUCCGAGUGUAGAGGUGAAAUUCGUAGAUAUUCGGAGGAACACCAGAGGCGAAGGCGGCUUACUGGCCCAAUACUGACACUGAGGUGCGAAAGCGUGGGGAGCAAACAGG